CUUCCAGCUUUCCUGAUGAACUCAGCUGGAUCAUUGAGCUGCUGGAGAAGGACAGCAUGGCCUUCCAGGAGACCCUGGGCCCCUUUGACCAGGGAAGCCCCUUCAGCCAAGAGAUGCUGGAGGAGUGCCGGCAGGCCGGCCCCUACUUCCCUGGCAGCUACGGCCCAGGAGCCCCCUCCCCCGGCAGCUCUGAUGUCUCCACCGCAGGGACUGGUACUUCCCAGAGUCCCCCACUCCUCAGACUCCGGUGCAAUGUGACGUGGACCUGGAUCCAGUGACAGCAAGCUGUUCUCUAGGGGUGAGUGGGGACUCAGUGGGCAGUGCCCAUGGGGCUGAUCCUUCCCCUCAUCCUUGCUCGCCUGUAGGGUUUCCCUCCGGUACAGGAGCUGCCCCCUCAAGCCCCCCAUUCCUUUCCCUCCUGACCUUGCACUCCUCUGUCUUAGACGGCUUUCCUGACUAUAAGAAGGGGGGAUCCUAAGCAUGGGAAGCGGAAACGGGGUCGGCCUCGAAAGUGAGCAAAGAGUCUCGGGAGUGUCUGGAGGGCAAGAAGAGCAAGCAUGCCCCCAGAGGUACCCACCUGUGGGAGUUUAUCCUGGGACAUCCUCAUCCACCCGGAACUCAAUGAAGGCCUCAUGAAGUGGGAGAACCGGCAAGAGGGUGGUCUUCAAGUUCCUGCGGUCAGAGGCUGUGGCCCAGCUUUGGGGCCAAAAGAAGAAGAACAGCAGCAUGACCUACGAGAAGCUGAGCAGAGCCAUGAGGUACUACUACAAACGGGAGAUACUGGAGCGGGUGGACGGCCGGCGGCUGGUCUACAAGUUCGGCAAAAACUCCAGCGGCUGGAAGGAGGAAGAGGUUGCCGGGAGUCGGAACUGAGGGUCCGAACGGGACCCAGGACCAAACGCACAGACUUGAGGCCUGCAGCCCCCUCCUGGGGGGACCGCCAGGCCCCCCCACCAUUCAGGCAGCCUGGGGCCGUGCCAUGGAGAGAAGCUGAGGUUCGGGUUCCUUGUUCAGCCGCCAUCCUGGGAUGUGGGGCUUGUGGCCUCUCCUCUCUGCCCUCCUCCUGGAAUUACGAGCCCUGGGGUUUGAGGUGACCGGUCGGCUGACCACAGCUGCCAGCAUCGUUCCUCUUACCUGAUGCCUCCUAGACCCAACCCAGACAGCAGCUACAGACGAUGCCUUCCGCCUCAACAUGCCUGGGCUGAGCCAAGAAGGCCAGGGGGAGCAGCAGCAGGGGUGCUGCGAGAGAGGGGGCAGGACGGGGUCCUCCUGCCCCCUGCUUUCCGGACCGGCUUCCAUCUCAGUGCAUGGACUCCGCAGGCAGGGGUCAGAGCACUCCGUAAUUUAUGUGCUAUAAAUACGUCAGAUGUACAUAGAGAUCUAUUUUUUCUAAGACAUUCCCCUCCCCGCUCCUCUCCCACCGUGUGUUCGUGGUCAGACUGACCGUUCUAGGCCCUUGGCUGGGCCAGUGAGGGGCGGGGAGAUGCCAGGACUCUCAGACUGGGGCUCCUGGCUCCUUUCUCCCGUGAAUGGAAGCAGAGACCUCCAAUAAAGUGUCUUCUGCGCUUUUUCUAACCUUUGUCUUAGCUACCUGCAUACUGAAAUUUGGGCCUCUGGAGUGCAUGAGGCCCUGGGGUUGGAGGAGGGGCUGGGGCAGGAGGUCUACCCGGCUGGGGGUGAAGGCAAGAGGCAGGCCUGCAGGGUAGGGACAGGUGUCCUAGAGCAGGAGGGCUCCGUUUACAGACAAGCUGCCCCCGGGGGGGGGAGGGGGCUGGAGGGCAAGCAAAGGAAACAAGGUGAGACUGAAAGCUUCCCAGGCUCCGUGCAAGCAAGGGCAUGAGCUCGGCCAGCCAGACACUGGGCCAGCCCGGCUGCCGCCACACAUUCGUGCGGUGACCUUGGCCAAGUCAGCCCUCUGGGCCUGCUUCCUUGCUGAAAGGCUGGGGUUUGGAUUCGACACUCUGUAAGAAGUCUAGAAUUACGUAUCGAGCCUUAUGGGAUAGAUGCUUCAGAUUCCAAUCAUGUUGGCCCCAAACAGAGAAAACAAAAUGGAGAGGAGUACUUGAUAAGAAAGAAGGGGGGGAAGGAAUAAACAUUUGCCAGCCUCGUGUACGCCAGGCACUGUGCCAGACAGCCCCUCAGCCCACCUGAUCCUCUCCCAAAAAGAGAGAGAGAGAUUUAUCCCUCCCAUUUUACAGAUGCAGAAAGAGAGGUUCAAUAGGGCCAGCAACUCAGCCAAGGCCCCUAGGGCAGCACCUUGGUGCUCAGUAGCUUUUACCCUGGGGGUGUCCCCAGGGUUAGGGCUCUUCUGACUUAAUCCUCAGUACAUUCCAGAACUAUUGCUCUGUCUCCACAGUGAUAUUGCAGCCAGGUUCUAAGGGAGGAUUUUACUACGUAUGGUUCCUCAUGAAGAAUAUCUUCCAGUGGAAAGCUCCUUAAGUUUGAGGCUUCACAUUCCAGAGAGCACAUUAAAAAGGCAUUUUAUAAGUUUAAAAUGCUGUUUAGUUGUCUUGGAAAUACCAGAUUAUUCACUGAAGGCUGUGGGUAAGGAAGGGAGCUUAGAAAACCAGACGUGUGGAAGUGGGUCUUGCUCUGGAGAAAUAAGGAAUAAUAAAAGGGAAAGUCGGGGAAGUUGGUUGGAGAGGCUAGGGCGGUCAUGAAAGAAGCUAGAAUCUUCUGGAGCCAUUUUGGACAAAGUAUUCCUAUGACUGCACAAGCAGGUUAGUCCGAAGUGUGUAAGGGGAAGGGUUAGCCUCAAACAGCCCCUGGUCUCUGUUGCCGGUCAGGCUACCCUCUUAGCUGCGGAGCCUUCAGCCCCACUUAGCUUAAGAAUGACCUCAUUUUUUAGAAAUGAAGAGGUGCCUAGGCACCACUAAUUUUUCCUUCUUUUUUUUUUUAAGAUUUUAUUUAUUUAUUUGACAGAGCGAGAGAGCACAAGCAGAGGGAACAGUAGAGGGAGAGAGAGAAGCAGGCCUCCCGCCAAGCAGGGAGCCCGAUUGGGGGGGCUCGAUUCCCAGGACCCUGAGAUCAUGACCUGAGCUGGAAGGCAGAUGCUUAACCAUCUGAGCCACCCAGGCGCCCCAGCACCACUAAUUUUUCGGCCCGUGUUAUCUUGGGGUGGUCUUCAUACCCUAAAGAGGUGACCGUUGUUGCUGGAGUUGCCUAGCCAGGAGUGCAGGACGAACCUUAGGAACUCGGAGCACACUGCCCUGCUUCCCCAGUGUCUUCAGUUCUAAAAACGGAGCCACUGGCCUUGGGUGCCCACCCAAGGGUCUGAGUGGGGGAGGGGAGCUGGGACCCUGGGGCUGAGCCCCUUUGUCCUCUGCUGAGGGGCUGGGAGCGGAGGCAUCUGGGCCCAGCACUACACUCUGACCUUUGUCCUGCCAUUUUCCAGUUUAUGAGGUGCUUUCCCUCAUCCAUUAUCUCAUUACAUCCACACCAUAGCCCUUUGAGGAGACUGGGCGUCCCAUGUCCCUGAUGAGGCUAGUGGCUGGUACAAGGUCACCCCGCGGGGGACCGAUCCGAGGGCUCCUGCCUCGGCGGGAGACCGGGCGGCAGUACCCCCACGCUGCAGCUCUGGGAGGGGGGCCCCGGGAAGGGCGCCUGGGCAGCCCUGGCGCUGGGGAGGCAGGGAGGGCUCUUCUGGCCCUGGCCAGCGACAUGUUUCUUACUCAGUUGUCUUUCGCCCCAACACUGCUCUCCAGCCUCUUCCCCCUCAGGACGCUGCAGAGCCCCACGCAGAGCCCAAGGCUUGCCCUUUCUCGGUCCCCUCCUCGCGUCUUCUCUGUCAGGUGCCGGCCACCCUUACCCCCAGCUCUCACACGGCUCUGGAGCCACUGAGCUGACCCCGCCCAGAGAUGGGCCCUGCCUCCGCCCAGGGGUGUGCGGCUCCUUGGGUGGGGCUGGGCUGUUUAGGUUGUGCCCCCUGGCUGCUGGUCACCUCUUAUCUGCUUCUGUGGAAUCGGGUGGGUGUGCUGCGGGGCAGGUCGGAGGGAGGUCACCCCUCCCAUGUUUGGGUGUGCCUGUGGGGUGGGCUUUGGCCCUGGGCCUCCCUGAGAGAGGGCCCAGAUUCUCCCCCGGCAACCCAACACCAGUUCUGGGGACGUCUAACUUUCCCUGCCCUCCUGGGUGAAGUGGGUAAAGUUGUAGUUUCGUGAAGGGUUUAUUUCAGUCUGCUCUUUCACUCCAGUUCUCUCUCCCCUGCGGGCUGCGAGGGCCUCCGGGACCGCGGCUCACUCAUCUCAGCACCUUGCACAGCACCUGGCACACAGAAGGUGCUCAAUAAAUAUUUGUUAAACUGCC
ensembl:lncRNA